UAGGAUGCGUGUGCCUGGGUGCGGUGUGCCACCACCCAACCACGAGAAGAGGAAGAAGAAGGACCACCGACUGAGCGACGCUGAGAUCGAGACUCGGCCGGAGCGCGACUCCUCUUGCCGCUGCAUCUGCGACUGCGACUGCCAGGCCGGCUGUGGCGUCGACGCCGAUAGCGUCAAUCCGGACCCCAGCGAGAGCGGUUUCGAGAGCAAUUGCGGUAGCGAUCGAAGGUGGCAGCCGAGUCUUCGGGAUUGGCCGACUCUCGAGCGUCCGGGCGCCGAAGUGGCGCGGCAAGAGCGCUUCCUCUCCUGGCGAACACCCUCAGUCGGUAGGAGCCUGUAGCCCGCCGGGACACCCACUCAUGUUCAUCCCGGAUACCCUGAGGAGCUGCAUGGUGGAACCGGAUGUCUCGACUUACCUGCAGACCCCUUCCGUAGGACAGGAUGAAUUUCAUCCAUUCAUUGAGGCUCUUCUACCAUUCGUGAAGUCUUUCUCGUACACGUGGUUCAACCUACAAGCUGCAAAAAGGCGUUACUACAAGAAACACGAGAAACGGAUGAGUCUCGAGGAGGAACGUCAAUGCAAGGAGGAACUCCAGAACGAAAAGCUGGAAGUCAAGCAGAAAUGGGCUUCGCGGCUUCUGGGGAAACUACGAAAAGAUAUCACGCAAGAAUACCGAGAGGACUUCGUUCUGAGUAUAACUGGGAAAAGGCCGGCCAUGUGUGUCCUCAGUAAUCCUGAUCAGAAGGGCAAAAUGCGUCGCAUUGAUUGCCUACGUCAGGCAGACAAGGUAUGGAGAUUGGAUCUCGUAAUGGUGAUCCUCUUCAAGGCUAUUCCUUUGGAGUCGACGGAUGGGGAACGGCUGGAAAAGACGGCGGAAUGUGCCCAGCCUGGCCUGUGUGUCAAUCCCUAUCACAUCAACGUCUCCGUCCGGGAACUUGAUCUCUACCUCGCCAACUUCAUCACUAGUCACGAGGUUCUAAAUGGUAUCUGCAACUCGAGCAAGGACGAGGAGAGACGGCGUAAAGGUGCAGGGUACCACGAACUGUACAACGGCGUCGUCUGCAACGAUACGAUACUCGCGACCGGUGUCUUCAGUUCGAAGGAGCUCUGGAUGCUUUCAAAAGCGUCCAUACUGCAUGACCUCAGCGACAUGCAGCCUCAAAUAAACGCGAUCAAAAUAGAGCAUCCACCAUACUACUGCAGCAGCUACACCCCUCCAUCGGCUGCCGCGGCCACGGAUCACGCCCAACCGACGGCUAGCUUCAGUCCACCACCGGUGCAUCAGCUAAUACGAAAUGAUAAGACUGAAAAGGCUCCGACGGUUUCGGUAUCGAGUGCGCCAACUUUCUCCCCGAUUCUCAGGCCAGAAGAUAGUCAUCGUGGUAUGGACUCUCCUCACUCUCAAACGGGGUUACAUUCGCCGCAUGAGGGCCUGGCCGGAGGUUCCGGUCAGGGUCUAUCCAGCCUCGCGUAUUACCAACCCGAGCACCCUGGUUCCACGGGGGUAGUUAAGUAUCCUGAGAACGGACACGACACCCUCUCAGAUUUCGUGACGUUCGUCUGCCAGGAGGCCGAGAACACUCAGCAAUUGCCUCAGGUAGUUGUCGGAUUCGUCAAGUCCGCCAAGGUGCAGUCGCUGCCUUCAAAUUUUAGCGCAGCUCGCGGGACCGCGCACCGGUGUUCAAAAGUUCUCACAGUAUUACCCGAGCUCGAUGUUGCCUCCUCCGCCCCCAGCACCGAUGGCGAGGCCGGUGGCCAUCAUCAGAUCGACGGGGGCGAAUUCACCGCCUACAUCCUCGACCUCGCCAAACGACCCUUCGGAACUUGGGCCCAACCAGGAUCAAAUGGCUGCUGCCGCUGCUGCCGUGGGCCUCGCGUGUCAGACUUCGGUCGAUCCUUCCGGCAGGAAGAGUCCUGCGAGGAUACUUGUCACGGCGCCCCACACCAGCAGGGAGUACACGUUCGCUCACUUCCACUCGCAGCCUGGACAGCAAAUCUUCACAUACCCCACCAUCGGCUCCAUGUCGGGGGUGAUCUCUCCGACGAAUCUUUCUCUCUUUUCGUCACCGGUUUCGGUGACGAGGCCAGUAGCUACGCAGAGAUCGGUUCCGAAUGUCCCGCCCCGUUGGAAUACUGCACCCUUCAUUAAUCUCGAAGAUGACUACAACAUGAUUGCUCCAAUCAUCGCAGGGACUACGAGUGAACCGCCCUCCGCUAUGGACGAAGAACGAUAUUUCCACCCGGUUCACCCGAGCAACGUUGUCGACAAGAGCGGAAACGGAGGAAUAAUAGGGACAGAGCUUGGCGUAAACACGGAUCACGCAUCUCAUCAUCACCAUCAUCACCAACAGCACCAACAGCA
rnacentral:misc_RNA from 1 species